rnacentral:rRNA from 1 species
UGAAAUUGUGUCCUGCGGUGUCGGUCUACCGAAUGCGGUACGACAGGCACGUCUGCGGGGCUUCUCGCCGGUGCGUCCACCGCCGGCGUGUGUCGGUCGGCCUCACGGUCGGCCGCGCACCGAGGCGGGCCGUCGCGGCUGUUUACUUUGAACAAAUUAGAGUGCUCAAAGCGGGCUAACACUUGCCUGAAUAUUGUACGCAUGGAAUAAUAGAAUAGGACCUCGGUUCUGUUUUGUUGGCUUUCUGAUACCAGAGGUAAUGAUUAAUAGGAACGACUGGGGGCAUUCGUAUUGAGACGUUAGAGGUGAAAUUCUUGGAUCGUCGCAAGACGGACUAAAGCGAAAGCAUUUGCCAAAGGCGUUUUCAUUAAUCAAGAACGAAAGUUAGAGGUUCGAAGGCGAUUAGAUACCGCUGUAGUUCUAACCAUAAAUGAUGCCAGCCAGCGAUCCGCCGAAGUUUCAUAAUUUUAACCCGGUGGGCAGCUCCCGGGAAACCAAAGCUUUCGGGCUCCGGGGGGAGUAUGGUUGCAAAGCUAAACU